AUCCUUUUGUAGGUCAUAAUUGCGAUGAUUGGGUUGUUGUGCUCAAGCAUGAGAUGUGCCUCCCUCAAACCUUGUUACAACGUUGGCACAUUACCCGUCUGACA
ensembl:snoRNA